rnacentral:tRNA from 1 species
GGCCCUGUGGCGGAGAGUUACGCACGGGAUUGCAAAUCCCGGCACCCUUGGUUCAAUCCCAAGGCAGGGCCU